rfam:Picea glauca, whole genome shotgun sequence.
AUGUAAUGUAAUGCCUACAACAAUAAUGCACCAGAUCCCAUUAGAACUAUGUAGUUAAGCAUACUUGGGUUAGAGUAGUACUGGGAUGGGUGACCUCUCGAGAAGUCAUAGUGUUUUACAUG